UACGAAGGGGGCUAGCGUUGCUCGGAAUGACUGGGCGUAAAGGGCGCGUAGGCGGAUGGCACAGUCAGAUGUGAAAUUCCCGGGCUUAACCUGGGGGCUGCAUUUGAUACGUGUGAUCUAGAGUGAGGAAGAGGGUCGUGGAAUUCCCAGUGUAGAGGUGAAAUUCGUAGAUAUUGGGAAGAACACCGGUGGCGAAGGCGGCGACCUGGGCCUUGACUGACGCUGAGGCGCGAAAGCGUGGGGAGCAAACAGG
rnacentral:rRNA from 1 species